rnacentral:rRNA from 1 species
ACUAGUGAUUACGACUGCUGCUAAGACUGGAUAGGAAGAAAUAAGGCAUCUUAUUUCUUUUAAAAGACCUAGUAAUAGGUAUACUUUAGGAGGGGCUUGCGCCAUAUUAGUUAGUUGGUAGGGUAAUGGCCUACCAAGACGAUGAUGUGUAGCUGGACUGAGAGGUUGAACAGCCACAUUGGGACUGAGACACGGCCCAAACUCCUACGGGAGGCAGCAGUAAGGAAUUUUCGGCAAUGGAGGAAACUCUGACCGAGCAACGCCGCGUGAACGACGAAGUACUUUGGUAUGUAAAGUUCUUUUAUCAAGGAAGAAAAGCAAGUGGCGAACCAUUUGUUUGCCGGUACUUGAUGAAUAAGCCCCGGCUAAUUAUGUGCCAGCAGCCGCGGUAAGACAUAAGGGGCAAGUGUUAUCCGGAAUUAUUGGGCGUAAAGGGUGCGUAGGCGGUCUAGUAAGUCAGUGGUGUAAUGGCAACGCUCAACGUUGUCCGGCUAUUGAAACUGCUAAACUUGAGUUAGAUAGAGGCGAGUGGAAUUCCAUGUGUAGCGGUAAAAUGCGUAAAUAUAUGGAGGAACACCAGAGGCGUAGGCGGCUCGCUGGGUCUUAACUGACGCUGAGGCACGAAAGCGUGGGGAGCAAACAGGAUUAGAUACCCUGGUAGUCCACGCCGUAAACGAUGAGUACUAAGUGUCGGGUUAAACCGGUACUGAAGUUAACACAUUAAGUACUCCGCCUGAGUAGUACGUACGCAAGUAUGAAACUUAAAGGAAUUGACGGGACUCCGCACAAGCGGUGGAUCAUGUUGUUUAAUUCGAAGAUACCCGAAAAACCUUACCAGGUCUUGACAUGUUUUGCGAAACGGUAGUAAUAUCGUAGAGGUUAUCAGAAACACAGGUGGUGCAUGGUUGUCGUCAGCUCGUGUCGUGAGAUGUUAGGUUAAGUCCUAAAACGAGCGAAACCCUUAUCGUUAGUUGCCAGCACGUUAUGGUGGGGACUUUAACGAGACUGCCAGUGAUAAACUGGAGGAAGGUGAGGAUCACGUCAAAUCAGCAUGCCCCUUAUGACCUGGGCUACAAACGUGAUACAAUGGCUGUUACAAAGGGUAGCUGAAACGUAAGUUCUUGGCCAAUCCCCAAAAACAGUCUCAGUCCGGAUUGAAGUCUGCAACUCGACUUCAYGAAGUUGG